rnacentral:rRNA from 1 species
CCCGCUGAACUUAAGCAUAUCACUAAGCGGAGGAAAAGAAAUUAACUAAGAUUGCCUCAGUAACGGCGAGUGAAGCGGCAAAAGCCCAAACUGGAAAGCUCCGCCCUCCGGGCGGCGCGUUGUAAACUAGAGGACUUAUUCUCACCUGUGGGGGUCGCAGAAGUGACCUAGAAUGGUACGCCAAAGAGGGUGACAGCCCCGUAUGUGGUGACCCCCGCUAACGAGAAGGGUUCAAGGAGUCGGGUUGUUUGGAAAUGCAGCCCUAAUUCGGGAGAUAGACUUCUUCCAAGGCUAAAUAUUUAUGGGAAACCGAUAGCGAACAAGUACUGUGAAGGAAAGAUGAAAAGAACUUUGAAAAGAGAGUCAAAAGACUUGAAAUCGUUGAGAAGGAAGCGGUAGAAAUUUAUUCUUCCGGUGUCACUUAAGUGUUCCACUAGCGUAUCGGGGCGAAUCAGUACGUCAAAGGCUGACAGCUUCGCGUGCGUUUUGGGUUGCGGAGGUCUCACCGGUGAGGCAAGAUGGAGCUUCACUCCCACAAAAGCUGCAUGAAUCUGGCUUCACGGCAAUUCAGGUGUGCUCGUGGGCGUGGUGCUUGAGGAAGCCCUGUGCGAUCUUGCCAAAAUGGUUUUUACCGACCCGUCUUGAAACACGG